GACGAACGCUGGCGGCGUGCUUAACACAUGCAAGUCGAACGGAAAGGCCCUGCUUUUGUGGGGUGCUCGAGUGGCGAACGGGUGAGUAACACGUGAGUAACCUGCCCUUGACUUUGGGAUAACUUCAGGAAACUGGGGCUAAUACCGGAUAGGAGCUCCUGCUGCAUGGUGGGGGUUGGAAAGUUUCGGCGGUUGGGGAUGGACUCGCGGCUUAUCAGCUUGUUGGUGGGGUAGUGGCUUACCAAGGCUUUGACGGGUAGCCGGCCUGAGAGGGUGACCGGCCACAUGGGGCCGAGGUAACGGCCAGACUCCUACGGGAGGCAGCAGUGGGGAAUAUUGCACAAUGGGCGGAAGCCUGAUGCAGCAACGCCGCGUGCCGGAUGACGGCCUUCGGGUUGUAAACCGCUUUCGCCUGUGACGAAGCGUGAGUGACGGUAAUGGGUAAAGAAGCACCGGCUAACUACGUG
rnacentral:rRNA from 1 species